AAUUCCAAUCAUUAAACUGAAGAGUAGUCUUAUUCAACACAUUAUUACUACGGGUGUCACGAGACAAGGCGAUACACAAGAUUGGGCCUACGAAGACGAGACGAAAUUUUAACAUUACUUUAAAGACAGCGAGACAAAGAGACUGUAUGACUCAAUUCAUGCCGUUGUUCUGUGGAUCAAACGUGCCAAGGUGCUGACACCAAUGCACAGAGUGAACUCUCUUCCUGCCUGUUUGGAGGUGAGAGACGAGGAAAGCAGACACAUGGCAAUAUAUUGAGGCUGGCAACAUUAUCGCAUAUAAGUGACACCACCUUGACCUGAGGAGGAGGACGAGGACGAGAAGGGGCUGAGGGGAUCCACUAUUGGCGGCAGGUAGUCUGACCCGCUGUUGUCUGAGUAGGCUGACUCCAGAACAGCAAUCUGGUUGACAACAAAUAGUGUCAAGAGGUCCAUGCUGCCAAAAGUGACGCCUUUAGGGGAGGCUGAUGACACAACCCCCAUGUUUUUCACUUUGUUUUGCAUUUUCCUCUUUUCAAAGAACUCCUGUGAAGAUAAAGGUGACAAAUUGGCUACAACAAGGACAGGAGAGCUGCCAAAAUGAGUCCAAAUGCCUUACACGCUGC